GCUUGAAUGAUGAGUUGUAUUAUGUCGGAUACCCCUUCACUCUGUAUGAGUGAGAAAAUCUAACUGACAAGC